GACAAGGAAACCAACAAAAAUUCCCCUUAUCCGACAGCAUGUAGUAUUACGAAAAUGGACCAGUCGGAAUUCCCAACAAUUUAACCCUCUUAUUAGAUCAGACAGACCACCGAUUCUGAUUCAUCAGUCGGUCCGAUCAAGUUCGGCCAACACUCAUUCACAUGAAAAAAUCAUGCACGGCAUGCCGUACAGAAAGGGUUGGACCACCAAUGCAGCGGAUGGAAACG
rnacentral:lncRNA from 1 species